GGAGAAAUGCCGGAGUGGUCGAUCGGGGCGGUCUCGAAAACCGUUGUACCCUUACGGGUACCGGGGGUUCGAAUCCCUCUUUCUCCGCAA
rnacentral:tRNA from 1 species